UACGAAGGGGGCAAGCGUUGUUCGGAUUUACUGGGCGUAAAGGGCGCGCAGACGGCUCUUCAAGUCAGAUGUGAAAGCCCCGGGCUCAACCUGGGAACUGCAUUUGAGACUGAAGAACUCGAGUUCGGGAGAGGAUGGCGGAAUUCCCAGUGUAGAGGUGAAAUUCGUAGAUAUUGGGAAGAACACCGGUGGCGAAGGCGGCCAUCUGGACCGAGACUGACGCUGAGGCGCGAAAGCGUGGGGAGCAAACAGG
rnacentral:rRNA from 1 species